rnacentral:rRNA from 1 species
AGGACGAACGCUGGCGGCGUGCUUAAAACAUGCAAGUCGAACGGGGACCAUGGAGUCGCAAGACUCCGGAAGUCCGAGUGGCGAACGGGUGCGUAACACGUGAGGAACCUGCCCCAGAGACCGGGAUAACCCCUCGAAAGAGGAGCUAAUACCGGAUGUGCUCAUCGGAUCACCUGGUCUGAUGAGGAAAUGGAUUCCGCUCUGGGAUGGCCUCGCGGCCUAUCAGCUUGUUGGUGGGGCAACGGCCUACCAAGGCGACGACGGGUAGCUGGUCUGGAGAGGGACGAGUCAGCCACACUGGGACUGAGACACGGCCCAGACU